rnacentral:rRNA from 1 species
AUUGAACGCUGGCGGCAUGCCUUACACAUGCAAGUCGAACGGCAGCACGGGGGCAACCCUGGUGGCGAGUGGCGAACGGGUGAGUAACACAUCGGAACGUGCCCAGUAGUGGGGGAUAGCUCGGCGAAAGCCGGAUUAAUACCGCAUACGACCUACGGGUGAAAGCGGGGAGUCGCAAGACCUCGCGCUAUUGGAGCGGCCGAUGUCAGAUUAGGUUGUUGGUGGGGUAAAGGCCUACCAAGCCGACGAUCUGUAGCUGGUCUGAGAGGACGACCAGCCACACUGGGACUGAGACACGGCCCAGACUCCUACGGGAGGCAGCAGUGGGGUAAUUUUGGACAAUGGGCGCAAGCCUGAUCCAGCCAUGCCGC